rnacentral:tRNA from 1 species
GGGGAUUUAGCUCAGCGGCAGAGCGCUUGCCUAGCAAGCGCAAGGCCCUGGGUUCAGUCCCCA